GAUGAACGCUGGCGGCGUGCCUAAUACAUGCAAGUCGAGCGAAUGGAUUAAGAGCUUGCUCUUAUGAAGUUAGCGGCGGACGGGUGAGUAACACGUGGGUAACCUGCCCAUAAGACUGGGAUAACUCCGGGAGACCGGGGCUAAUACCGGAUAACAUUUUGAACCGCAUGGUUCGAAAUGGAAAGGCGGCUUCGGCUGUCACUUAUGGAUGGACCCGCGUCGCAUUAGCUAGUUGGUGAGGUAACGGCUCACCAAGGCAACGAUGCGUAGCCGACCUGGGAGGGUGAUCGGCCACACUGGGACUGAGACACGGCCCAGACUCCUACGGGAGGCAGCAGUAGGGAAUCUUCCGCAAUGGACGAAAGUCUGACGGAGCAACGCCGCGUGAGUGAUGAAGGCUUUCGGGUCGUAAAACUCUGUUGUUAGGGAAGAACAAGUGCUAGUUGAAUAAGCUGGCACCUUGACGGUACCUAACCAGAAAGCCACGGCUAACUACGUGCCAGCCGCCGCAGUAA
rnacentral:rRNA from 1 species